rnacentral:rRNA from 1 species
GGACUACCGGGGUUUCUAAUCCUGUUUGCUCCCCACGCUUUCGCGCCUCAGCGUCAGUAUUUGUCCAGGUAGCCGCCUUCGCCACUGGUGUUCCUUCCGAUCUCUACGCAUUUCACCGCUACACCGGAAAUUCCACUACCCUCUACAAUACUCUAGCUAUCCAGUAUGAGAUGCAGUUCCUAGGUUAAGCCCAGGGAUUUCACAUCUCACUUAAAUAACCGCCUACGCGCCCUUUACGCCCAGUAACUCCGAUUAACGCUCGCACCCUCUGUAUUACCGCGGCGGCUGGCAC